rnacentral:rRNA from 1 species
GUAGGGAAUAUUGCGCAAUGGGGGAAACCCUGACGCAGCGACGCCGCGUGAGUGAUGAAGGCCUUCGGGUCGUAAAGCUCUGUUGCAGGGGAAUAAAAAAAUGAAGGUACCCUGUGAGGAAGGAUCGGCUAACUUCGUGCCAGCAGCCGCGGUAAGACGAGGGAUCCUAGCGUUGCUCGGAAUCAUUGGGCGUAAAGAGGGCGUAGGUGGCUUGGUAAGUCAGGUGUGAAAGCCCAGGGCUCAACCCUGGAAGUGCAUUUGAUACUGCUGAGCUUGAGUGUCGGAGAGGUUACCGGAAUACCUGGUGUAGUGGUGAAAUACGUAGAUAUCAGGUGGAACACCGGAGGCGAAGGCGGGUAACUGGACGAACACUGACACUGAGGCCCGAAAGCGUGGGGAUCAAACAGGAUUAGAAACCCGAGUAGUAC